rnacentral:tRNA from 1 species
GGCACAGUGGUGCAGUGGGUAGCACUGUCACAGCAAGAAGGUCGCGGGUUCGAAUCUCGGCUUGGGGCC